rnacentral:rRNA from 2 species
AGAGUUUGAUCCUGGCUCAGAACGAACGCUGGCGGCAUGCCUAACACAUGCAAGUCGAACGAGUGCCUUCGGGUGCUAGUGGCGCACGGGUGCGUAACGCGUGGGAAUCUGCCCUUCGGUUCGGAAUAACUCAGGGAAACUUGAGCUAAUACCGGAUGAUGACUUCGGUCCAAAGAUUUAUCGCCGAGGGAUGAGCCCGCGUAGGAUUAGCUUGUUGGUGGGGUAAAGGCCUACCAAGGCGACGAUCCUUAGCUGGUCUGAGAGGAUGAUCAGCCACACUGGGACUGAGACACGGCCCAGACUCCUACGGGAGGCAGCAGCCAGGAAUCUUGGGCAAUGGGCGAAAGCCUGACCCAGCAACACCGUGUGGGCGAUGAAGGCCUUAGGGUUGUAAAGCUCUUUCGUCCGGGACGAUAAUGACGGUACCGGAAGAAGAAGCCCCGGCUAACUUCGUGCCAGCAGCCGCGGUAAUACGAAGGGGGCUAGCGUUGUUCGGAAUCACUGGGCGUAAAGGGCGCGUAGGCGGCCUGAUAAGUCGGGGGUGAAAGCCUGUGGCUCAACCACAGAAUUGCCUUCGAUACUGUCGGGCUUGAGACCGGAAGAGGUAAGUGGAACUGCGAGUGUAGAGGUGAAAUUCGUAGAUAUUCGCAAGAACACCAGUGGCGAAGGCGGCUUACUGGUCCGGUUCUGACGCUGAGGCGCGAAAGCGUGGGGAGCAAACAGGAUUAGAUACCCCCGUAGUCC